AAUGUAUUUAUGAAGUUGGACUUGAAG
rnacentral:piRNA from 1 species